rnacentral:rRNA from 1 species
CCUACGGGCGGCAGCAGUGGGGAAUAUUGGACAAUGGGGGGAACCCUGAUCCAGCCAUGCCGCGUGUGUGAAGAAGGCCCUCGGGUUGUAAAGCACUUUCAGUGAGGAAGAACGCCUGGUGGUUAAUACCCAUCAGGAAAGACAUCACUCACAGAAGAAGCACCGGCUAACUCCGUGCCAGCAGCCGCGGUAAUACGGAGGGUGCGAGCGUUAAUCGGAAUUACUGGGCGUAAAGCGCGCGUAGGUGGCUUGAUAAGCCGGUUGUGAAAGCCCCGGGCUCAACCUGGGAACGGCAUCCGGAACUGUCAAGCUAGAGUGCAGGAGAGGAAGGUAGAAUUCCCGGUGUAGCGGUGAAAUGCGUAGAGAUCGGGAGGAAUACCAGUGGCGAAGGCGGCCUUCUGGACUGACACUGACACUGAGGUGCGAAAGCGUGGGUAGCAAACAGGAUUAGAUACCAGUGUAGUC